UCUGGUGGCGAUAGCGCAGUGGACACACCUGUUCCCAUACCGAACACAGAAGUUAAGCACUGUAGUGGCGAAGAUAGUACGUUAGUGCAAAAAUAGCGAGCCGCCGGGC
rnacentral:rRNA from 1 species